AAUAACGCGAAGAACGGGAACAGUAAGUGGUCUGAUCUGUUUAGAGAGCUGCGGGAUGGUGCAACGCAGUCAGAGAAGCCAGUGAAGCUCGCCCGGGAGCGGCAGGACUGAACAAGAUGUAGCGCUGCAUCGAGCAGUAAGUUCUGACGGUUAACCUCCGUGAUCGGGUUGUGCUGAUCGACUAGGAUCAGUACAUGAGGUGGACUUCUGGCGAGUAGCUGGGGUCAACGAGAGUGGUACCGCGAUAGACAAGGUCUGUCGUCUCUUCG
rnacentral:ncRNA from 1 species